rnacentral:tRNA from 1 species
UCCCCGGUAGCUCAGUCGGUAGAGCGUCGGACUGUUAAUCCGCAGGUCGCUGGUUCGAGUCCAGCCCGGGGAGCCA